rnacentral:rRNA from 1 species
UACGAGAGGGGCAAGCGUUAUUCGGAAUGAUUGGGCGUAAAGGGUCCGUAGGCUGUAUUUUGGAUGUUGUGUAUCAAAAACUAAGGCUUAACCUUAGAAUGGUGCGCAAGACACAUUUACUGGAGUCUAGAAAAAGGUAGCAGAACUUUAAAAGGAGGGGUGGAAUCCGUCGAUAAUUAAAAGAAUGCCAAAGGCGAAAGCAGCUACCUAUCUAGUACUGACGUUGAGGGACGAAAGGCGUGGGGAAGCAAACAGGG